GCCCAGUUAGCUCAGUGGUAGAGCUAUCGGCUGUUAACCGAUCGGUCGUAGGUUCAAGCCCUACACUGGGCGCCA
rnacentral:tRNA from 1 species